rnacentral:rRNA from 1 species
AACGCGAAGAACCUUACCAGGGCUUGACAUCUUGGGAACCUCUUGGAAACAGGGGGGUGCCGCAAGGAGCCCAAAGACAGGUGGUGCAUGGCUGUCGUCAGCUCGUGUCGUGAGAUGUUGGGUUAAGUCCCGCAACGAGCGCAACCCUCGUCGUUAGUUGCCAGCAGGUUAUGCUGGGCACCCUAGCGAGACUGCCGGUGACAAACCGGAGGAAGGUGGGGAUGACGUCAAGUCAUCAUGCCCCUUAUGCCCUGGGCUACACACGUGCUACAAUGGCGCGGACAAUGGGAUGCAAGGCCGCGAGGCGGAGCUAAUCCCCAAACCGCGCCCCAGUUCAGAUUGUAGGCUGCAACUCGCCUACAUGAAGUCGGAAUCGCUAGUAAAUGCGGAUCAGCAUGCCGCAUUGAAUACGUUCCCGGGCCUUGUACACACCGACUGUAC